AGCAAGAGAAAAAGGCUGCUAUUAUCAGUGCCGAUGGUGAUGCCACAGCUGCCACUUUACUCGCCAAGUCCUUCGGUGAGGCUGGAGAAGGUUUGGUGGAACUCAGGAGGAUUGAGGCUUCCGAGGACAUUGCUUACAGGCUGUCAAAGAACCGCAAUGUUGCCUACCUCCCCAACAACCAGAGCACCUUGUUGUCCCUUCCCCAGUGAAAGCAAGUCCAACUGAUAGCUAGUGGAGAGAGUGCAAGAUGACCAAACUAAUACAUAGGGUUUAUGAUGAACAACCAUUAAGAGCCUCCCUGAAGUGUCAAUAACUUCAAUUGCCUGAACAAUGUACCAGAUUUCCUAGCAUGAAUGGCAUUACUUGUACAAAUGAUUUUUGUUUGUGAUAUAUAUACUUACAGAGAGUAAUCAGGGAUGGUAAAGGGUAGGUUUUUUUUUUCCUGACAUAAAAUCUGCGCAUAAAUGUGUAUAAGCUUCAAGAAGAAUUCUUGUCAUUCAUGUUGCAAAAGAAAAAAAUGUAAUUAAUCUUGUCUUUCCAUGUAUAAUACUGAGGCAGCAUUGUGUUGAAGCAGUGUACAGAUAUUUCAUAUGUUAAAAGCUUUUCACAUCUGCCAAUGUAUCUUGAGAAAGCAAGUAAUUGGGGCUUACAUAUAAUUUUUCCAAGGUGAAGAGAAUGUAGAUAAAAAGUUAUGUACGUAACUGUUAAAGAAACGAAAAAGUACUAAUUGUAAUUAGGGAUUUUGUAAAGAAAUUUUACUUUGAAA